UAAGUGAAGAGUUUGAUCCUGGCUCAGAGUGAACGCUGGCGGUAGGCCUAACACAUGCAAGUCGAACGGCAGCACAGGAGAGCUUGCUCUCUGGGUGGCGAGUGGCGGACGGGUGAGGAAUACAUCGGAAUCUACUCUGUCGUGGGGGAUAACGUAGGGAAACUUACGCUAAUACCGCAUACGACCUACGGGUGAAAGCAGGGGACCUUCGGGCCUUGCGCGAUUGAAUGAGCCGAUGUCGGAUUAGCUAGUUGGCGGGGUAAAGGCCCACCAAGGCGACGAUCCGUAGCUGGUCUGAGAGGAUGAUCAGCCACACUGGAACUGAGACACGGUCCAGACUCCUACGGGAGGCAGCAGUGGGGAAUAUUGGACAAUGGGCGCAAGCCUGAUCCAGCCAUACCGCGUGGGUGAAGAAGGCCUUCGGGUUGUAAAGCCCUUUUGUUGGGAAAGAAAUCCAGCUGGCUAAUACCCGGUUGGGAUGACGGUACCCAAAGAAUAAGCACCGGCUAACUUCGUGCCAGCAGCCGCGGUAAUACGAAGGGUGCAAGCGUUACUCGGAAUUACUGGGCGUAAAGCGUGCGUAGGUGGUUAUUUAAGUCCGUUGUGAAAGCCCUGGGCUCAACCUGGGAACUGCAGUGGAUACUGGAUGACUAGAAUGUGGUAGAGGGUAGCGGAAUUCCUGGUGUAGCAGUGAAAUGCGUAGAGAUCAGGAGGAACAUCCAUGGCGAAGGCAGCUACCUGGACCAACAUUGACACUGAGGCACGAAAGCGUGGG
rnacentral:rRNA from 1 species